AAGAAAUACUAACUGCUUUGAUCUGUUUCACAGAUCCUAAUAAAGGAACGGGCUAAUUCUGGCCCACACAUACACACGGCUUUCCGCAGCAACUUUAGCGUAUGCUUUGCAACGACAAACAUUUCCCAAAGUUACACUUCCAAUAGAAAGCAUACAUGGGAAGGGAGAAAUCACAGCAUGGAAUUAAAAAACAAACAAAAAAACGGCUGUGGAGUUUUCUUUACUCCUCCUCCUACUAUAUUCACUUACUAGAUGUACUCUUCUCAGCAAGCCCGAAGACCUCCAAGAACAGAACAACCACAGAGAAUACAGGGCAGUAUCAGCUACCCUAUAGUCAGCUUUGUGCUUCCUUCGUAUCAGGUUCUCCUACAGCCUCUUAAAAUAAAAAGAGGCAGAAACCUGAAAAAAUAAAACUUAAAACCUGAGCCAGAACCUUCAAAGGUUUAAAGGUGUGGCGUUAGCAGGAACUAAGCUUUCCAGCGUCCCAUCUAUGUAGUGGAAGAUACCAUGAACACGGCGACCUUCCCAUUACGAUGUUAAAGCAUCUGACUACCUCAAGAUUCAAGUU